GUCAAUAGGAGCAGAGGCAUUUAGCUGUGUAAACACAGAGCUUCAGUGGCAGCACCCUAAAUGCUUAGCUGAUAGAUCCGGAAUUAAAUACAGACCUAGAAACUGGAGUUGGAAAACUUCCUGGCAGCACUCCUUCCCUGCCAUCCCGGUGAUCCCCUUCUGGAUGGAGGGUGUGGAGCUCAGCACAUUCACGUCUGCAGAGUCUUGCUCCAUUGCCCUGGCUGGAGUGCAGCGGUGUGAUCCCCACUCACUGCAACCUCUGUCUCCCGGGUUCAAGCGAUUCUCCAGCCUUAGCCUCCUGAGUAGCUGGGACUACAGGCACGUGCCACCAUGCCUGGCUAAUUUUUUGUAUUUUUAGUAGAGACAGGGUUUCAUCAUGUUAGCCAGGAUGGUCUCAAUCUCCUACCUCAUGAUCCACCCGCCUCAGCCUCCCAAAGUGCUGGGAUUACAGACAUGAGCCACCAUGCCUGGCCCAGUGUUCUUUUCUUGUGCAGUCUAAUUUUGGUAUAAGGCUUUUGCUGGCUCUAUAAAAUGACAUGGAAAAUAUUUUCUCCUCUUCUACUCUCUGAAAAAGUUUGUGAAUAAUUUGUAUCAUUUGUUCUAUAAAUACACAAGAGAACUUAUCAGUGAAGUCAUCUGAAAAGGUUUUAAUCGUGAGAAGGUUAUACUGGUGAAUUUAAUUUCAUUACUACAUAUAAAACUAAUUAUGUUUCCUCUUUUUCUUGGAUAUGCUUGAAUAAUUGUGCAUUUCUAAUAUAUUUUAAUCCAAAUUGUCAAAUUUCAUCAAAAUUGUCAAAUUUCUUGGCAUACUAUCCCUGUAUUAGCCUUUUAAUGUCUGUAGAAUCUGUAGUAAUGUCUCCUAUUUUAUUUUUGGUAUUGAAUAUGUGUUUGUGUUUUUCCUUGGUCAGUCUUGCUAGUUUUAUUUACCAUUUCAAAGAAAUAAUCUACUUUAUUGAUUACCUUCGUUAUCUUUAUUAUUUCCUUACUUCUGUUAACAUUUUAUUGAAUUUGUCAUUUUUCUAGCCUUUGAGAUUGCAAGAUUAAAUUUUUUAUUUUGA
rnacentral:lncRNA from 1 species